GGAUGGGUGGCCGAGCGGUUGAAGGCACCGGUCUUGAAAACCGGCAAGGGUGAAAGCUCUUCGUGGGUUCGAAUCCCACCCCAUCCGCCA
rnacentral:tRNA from 5 species